CAGAGGGCGCGAGCGUUGUCCGGAAUCACUGGGCGUAAAGGGCGCGUAGGUGGCCACUAUAAGGCCGCGGUGAAAGUUCGGGGCUCAACCCUGAAUCUGCCGCGGCGACUGUAGGGCUUGGGCACUGUAGAGGCAGAUGGAAUUCCGGGUGUAGCGGUGGAAUGCGUAGAGAUCCGGAAGAACACCGGUGGCGAAGGCGGUCUGCUGGGCAGUGGGAGCGCAAGCUCCUCUUAGCCGACACUGAGGCGCGACAGCGUGGGGAGCAAACAGGAUUAGAUACCCUGGUAGUCCACGCCGUAAACGAUGGGCACUAGGUGCUUUGGGGAGCGACCCUCAGGGUACCGGCGCUAACGCAUGAAGUGCCCCGCCUGGGGAGUACGGCCGCAAGGCUG
rnacentral:rRNA from 1 species